rnacentral:rRNA from 1 species
AGCGAACGCUGGCGGCAGGCUUAACACAUGCAAGUCGAGCGCCGUAGCAAUACGGAGCGGCAGACGGGAGAGUAACGCGUGGGAACGUACCCCUUGGUUCGGAAUAACUCAGGGAAACUUGAGCUAAUACCGGAUACGUCGGCAACGAGAAAGAUUUAUCGCCGAGGGAUCGGCCCGCGUCCGAUUAGCUAGUUGGUGUGGUAAUGGCGCACCAAGGCGACGAUCGGUAGCUGGUCUGAGAGGAUGAUCAGCCUCACUGGGACUGAGACACGGCCCCGACUCCUACGGGAGGCAGCAGUGGGGAAUAUUGGACAAUGGGCGCAAGCCUGAUCCAGCCAUGCCGCGUGGGUGAUGAAGGCCUUAGGGUUGUAAAGCCCUUUCGGCGGGGAAGAUAAUGACGGUACCCGCAGAAGAAGCCCCGGCUAACUUCGUGCCAGCCGCCGCCGUAAAAC